UACGGAGGGCGCAAGCGUCGUUCGGAAUCAUUGGGCGUAAAGCGCGUGCAGGCGGCUUGGUAAGUCGGGUGUGAAACCCCGGGGCUCAACCCCGGAACUGCACCCGAUACUGCCUCGCUCGAGUCCCGGAGAGGAUGGCGGAAUUUCCGGUGUAGAGGUGAAAUUCGUAGAUAUCGGAAGGAACACCAGCGGCGAAGGCGGCCAUCUGGACGGUGACUGACGCUCAGACGCGAAAGCGUGGGGAGCAAACAGG
rnacentral:rRNA from 1 species